rnacentral:lncRNA from 1 species
GCCAGACAAUGCCAGCGGGUGCUAGAGGUGGCAGCAGACUGCACUAGAGCCAGCCCGUGUACUCUGAACUCUUGUUCUGGCUCAAAGGAGAGAGCAGCCAAGCCCUCGUUAUGCAGUAAAAUGGGAAUUAUUGCCAGCAAGCGCCGCAGGGCCCGCUGCGCCUGUGCGGCUCCUGGCACGCAGAGCUGAAGCUGCUGCACAGAGCUCACAGUGCCUCUCCCGUCAGCUCUGCCAGGCCAUUUCCAUCCAGCAGCUGGGGAAACCGAGGCUCAGAAAAAGGUCUGAACUUGCUCAGCAUCCUCCAGCAGGUCAAAAGAGCCAGGAUGCCAGAGGCCAGGCUGCCCCUGAGGGCAAACACUGUGGCAGGCCUUGCAGUGGCAGGCUGAAGCGGCAUGGCCGGACGCCGGGAGGUGUGUGCACGCAGCGGUGGAGGCCCCACCUUCCCUCGCCACAAGGGCUCCUCCACCCACCUACAGAAGGAAGGAAAAACAACCACCCAAGAAAACCCAAGAUUUGGGCAAAAGAAGAAAAAAAUAUUCACCAAUCCCAUUCCUAACUGACUCAUUGCCCAUAAAGGCUCCUUUAAUAACCAGUGAGUCACGGGAUUUGGAGCUUAAUGGCACGGCAAGGGAUGAAUGUUACUUUUAUCACUUCUUCAGGCGGAGGCUUGUGAGGGGCCCAGCCACCUUGAGGCUGUGCGGUUCUCCCCGUGACUUUCUCUGCUCCCAUCAAUUUUUAGCGAUGCCCUCCCUUCCCCAGGUUGCUUUUCUGUCUGCUACUGUCUGUCUGUCUGUCAGGCAGCCAAGAGCAACCGUUCAGCACGCUGCAAUACCCCGUGGUAUUACACGGAGCGCUGCAAAACUGGAACAUGCGACACACCCAGAACGAGAGAGAGGAAGGAAUGGAAAAUACGAAUUUAUCACACUCUUGGAUCUGGGAUAUGGGGCACGGGGCACAAACAGGACCACGAUCUUUUGUCCCCCUCUCUACCAGCUGGUAGAAGGAUGCUUGGAGGGUCCGUUCUGAGAGAUGGCUGGCAGCUAAGCAGUUUUUGCAAACCAGUAUAUGUGGCUUAGUCCCCAUUCGAUACUACCGAGGGGAGAUUGAAAUGCCUGGGAAAGGGCAGGAGAUUGCUGGUCUCCUCCGGGAGAAGGAAUUUCCCAAAACUCCAUCCCAAAGCAUUUUGCUCCCCCAUAUCUGCCCAGCCUUCCUUGCCCCCCUGCAGAUGUGGCCCAGUCUCUGCUCCUUUUGCUUAGCAUCUGCCCCGGUGCUGGCUCAGCUGGCAGCAGCUCGGCAGCCUCAGCUGGAGCUGGCCUUUCGCCUCCCCAAAGCCAAGCGGCACGCAUGGUGUUGCCAGACCUGAAGUCUCAGACAUG